rnacentral:rRNA from 1 species
AUUGAACGCUGGCGGCAUGCCUAACACAUGCAAGUCGAGCGAGCGGCGGACGGGUGAGUAAUGUAUGGGGACUGCCCGAUAGAGGGGGAUAACUACUGGAAACGGUAGCUAAUACCGCAUACUAUCGGAUAACCCAUAUGGGAUUAGCUAGUAGGUGAGGUAAUGGCUCACCUAGGCGACGAUCCCUAGCUGGUCUGAGAGGAUGAUCAGCAACACGGGGACGAGGACACGGACCAGACUCCGACGGAGGCAGCAGUGGGGAAGAUUGCACAAUGGGCGCAAGCCUGAUGCACGCAUGCCGCGUGUAUGAAGAGGGCCAUAGGUUUGUAAAGUACUUUCAGUCGGGAGGCGUUACCGACAGAAGAAGCACCGGCUAACUCCGUGCCAGCCGCCGCGGUAAUAC